rnacentral:snRNA from 1 species
GGGAUUGUGCAGUGGCGGUGUUGUCACCAGCGAGGUUUAUCCAAGGUGCGAUUAUUGCCGAUUGAAAACUCUUCCCACUACCCCGCCAUGAUGACUUGAAGUAUAGUCGACAUUGGCAGUUUCUCACAGUCUUUAUGGAGA